rnacentral:rRNA from 1 species
ACUACGGGAGGCAGCAGUGAGGAAUAUUGGUCAAUGGGAGAGAUCCUGAACCAGCCAAGCCGCGUGAGGGAAGACGGCCCUAUGGGUUGUAAACCUCUUUUGUCGGAGAACAAAACCCGGGACGUGUCCCGGACUGCGUGUAUCCGAAGAAAAAGCAUCGGCUAACUCCGUGCCAGCAGCCGCGGUAAUACGGAGGAUGCGAGCGUUAUCCGGAUUUAUGGGGUUUAAAGGGUGCGUAGGCGGUCCGUUAAGUCAGCGGUAAAAUUGCGGGGCUCAACCCCGUCGAGCCGUUGAAACUGGCAGACUUGAGUUGGCGAGAAGUACGCGGAAUGCGCGGUGUAGCGGUGAAAUGCAUAGAUAUCGCGCAGAACUCCGAUUGCGAAGGCAGCGUACCGGCGCCAGACUGACGCUGAGGCACGAAAGCGUGGGGAUCGAACAGGAUUAGAUACCCCAGUAGUC